UUUCCUGCAUAGUCAACAGCAGACAUUUUGAAGUGACUUCUUUCGAACAAUGAGGAAACCGUAUCGAGGACUCAGAAGGUCUUCCACAUUAUUAGAAUCAGUCAUGUGGAAAUGCUAAUUCAUAACCUGAAGCAGUGAUGGAGCACCUGGUAGGAAGGCAGGGCCAAUCCAGAGGAGCUCAGGUGCACUCAAUGCAGCUGAGUGACCAGAAGGGCUGGAGCCGGGAUCCAACUCUUACAGACCUCAUUUAAGCGUUGGCAGUGAAGACAAAGAGAAUUUGUUGGGGAUUGAUGCCUGCUUGAGGCCUUUUGAAGGUUAAAUGGAAAAGAAGUCAUAACAGUAUUUCCUCUUAAUAGACCCAAGAAUGACUCCACACAAGAAGUGACAGACUCUCCUUGUGUUGUUGGAAUGAGAACAGCUGUGAUUGGACACAUUACUAUCAUCACAUUCUCUGGAGGGUCUGUACUUGGGGUCUUAUAACAGCUUAAGACGCACUCUAGUGGACACACAACAAACUGGAAUGAGGAUGCAAAUGUUAUGGAAGAAUAGAUAAUGAAAGCCACUGGUUGGAAUUAGUGAUUAGACUUAUUUAUCAGCAUGUUUAAAGUUGUCUUAAGUAAUUAGGCAAUAUGUUUAAGUUAUAUGUGAAGGCUGAAGUUUCCAUAGUUAACAUAAAAAAAGGACUGAAAUAAAAACACUGGCUCAAAUGAAAACCUUCAUCUAUUUAUCCAGCUAGUCCAUUCAAGGCUGGCACAAGAAGUUGCUGUGUAUACAUCAUUAAUAUAUUUUAAUUAGAUUAAUAAUGAUAUUUAGUAGAGAUGAUCAACACAGUGCAAAUUCAGUAAUUUUAAGAUCUGACUAACCAAAAUGAAUAUACUGACUCCUGCAGCUCACCUAUUAUCAAACAGUAAUCAGUAAAGAUUUUAAAUUGUAGAGCAAACAAUUAGUGUCAUUAAAAAGUACCUCAUGAUUUCUGACAGACUGACUUCUUUUAGCACACGUUUCUAUUAAGCCCUUCCAGUACUCAAAGGGAGCAUGUAAAUAGGAGGGGGUAUGACUGUUUAUGAGGGUGGAUAGUGAUAUGACAAGGGGGAAUAGUUUUAAACUGAGACAGGGGAGGUUUAGGUUAGAUAUUAAGAGGAAGUUUUUCACAUAGAGGGUGGUGAGGCUCUGGAACAGGUUGCCCAAGGAGGUUGUGGAUGCCCCAUCCCUGGAGGCAUUCAAGGCCAGGCUGGAUGUGGCUCUGGGCAGCCUGGUCUGCUGGUUGGUGACCCUGCACAUAGCAGGGGGUUGAAACCAGAUGAUCAUUGUGGUGCUUUUCAACCCAGACCGUUCUGUGCUUCUAUGAAGUCACAGAAAGUUACUUCUUAAUGACAUAAAUACUCUGAUUAAAUUUUGCAUUUAGUUCCAUGUACGAAACUUGCUUCACCUCCUGAUACAUACAGCAUUCCUUCUUAAUAUCAGAAACCUUUCAAAUUCAUGUCAAGUCUUUUCAAUCUUUUUUUUUUUUUAACUGUAUAUUCAAAUGAUGUUAUUGUAGCCCCUACUCCAAAAUGAUGUUGAUACACAAAAAUCUGUAUCUGUAAUAAUUUUAUUUUACACUUCAAAAAUCAACAGGUAAUCAGUGAAAAAUGUAUUUAUUUCUUUUAUCUCAGUUCCAGUUUUCUUUCUCCAAGUCAGCUGUGCCAGCUACUGUAGUUUAAGAACAGAGAAGAAGCAUAGCAAGCCAAAAUUAAUAGGCUUUAUAGGAGCACCCAGAAAGCCAAGAAACCAAAACAACAGACAACUUCGGGCAUGAAAACUUCAUGGAUGAUGCAGAAGACGUGUGACAAGAGAAGGUCAUCUGAGCCAACGUGACUUCCAAGGGCAGAUUGUGCCUCACCCAUCUGGUGGCUUUCUGUGAUCAGUGGAUAAGGGAAAGGUGGUAGAGAUUCAUGCACCUAAACUGCUGCAAGGCCUUUGAUACGGUCCUGCAUCACAUUCCUGCCUCUAAAUGGGAAAGAUAUGGUUUGGAUGAGUGGACUGUUCAGUGGAUAAGCAAUUGGUCGGGUGGUCAUUGGCAGAGGGUGGUCUCUGUCCAGGUGGAGGCGCCUCAGAGGUCCAUCUUGGGACCAGCACUCCUCAUCAUUAUCAAUGACCAGGACAGCACUAUCCAGUGCACUCUCUGCAAAUCAGCAGGUGACACUAAGCUGAGUGGUGCAUUCGAUGGAACAUAAGUAAGGGAUGCCAUCCAGAGGGAUCUGGACAAGUGUGAGAAGUGGGCCAACAUGUACCUAAUGAGGUUCAAUAAAGCCAGAGUAGGGGCAAUCUCAGGUAUCUGUACAGACUGGGAGAAGAACUGACUGAGAGCUACCGUGGGGAGAAGGACUUGGGGGUUCUGGUGGAUGAAAACCUUGAUGCAGUCAGCAGUGUGUGUUUGCAGCUCAGAAGGCCAAGUGCAUCGUGGGCUACAUCAAAAGAGGAGUGGUCACCAGAGUGAGUGAGGUGAUAGUUCCUUUCUGCUCCACCCUUGUGGGCCCCAUCUGGGAUCCUGCAUCUGUGGCAGAGCUGUUGAAACUAGAUGGCUUUUAAGGUCCCUUCCCUUAAUGGGAACCCAUUUUAUGGUUCUUUGAUUCAUUUGCACUUGGGAUUUUGCAAUUCAUUCAUUUAAGGACACAAAAUAGACCUGAAGCCUCACGUACAGUUUUUAAUAUUCAGUUGCCAGAAAACUAUAAAAAAUAGGGCUAGGUAGGACUUAAAGGUCCCAUCACAUUUACCUCUUAGCAAAAUCAAAAUAAUUGUGAAAACUUGAUCCUAGGUAUAGUCAUAAAUAUAUUCACAAAUGUAUUUGAAGAACCUUUAUAAAACAAGUUGUUAAUAAAGCAACCUUAAGCUUAAAGCACGUUAAUACCACAUUUAAGUUUUGAGUUGGAAUGAAGCUGAUAAUGUCAGAAAACAAGUGAGCAGAUGGCUAAGGUUAAUAAAGGAGAAAGGGUUCAGAUGUAGUAUUAAAACCAAUCCAGCAAAAUUUCAAUUCACACUAUCAAGACUGUAGCUGAAAAAAGAUAGAUGCAUCAAUAUUUAUCUCCAGUGAUGUGCAUAAAAGGCAUCAUCUGUUAAACGUACUGCCACGUUUACAGUCAGUGAUGGUUGAUUUACACCCUCUCACGUACUUGCAUUAUCAAGCACAAAGUAAUUAAAAAAAAAAGAAAAAUGUAGAAGAUGCUUGCAUAUCACAAUUUAGAUUCACAGUUGCAGUGCUGUGCAGAGUAAGUACUGUUACGCUGGCACGAGGCUCAGAUAACAUGAUUCUUAGCAGGUCUUUGCUGCACUGAGCGCUGUGUGUGCUUGGUAUCUGGUCUUUUACGUUAAAUAGUUGUUCUGAUAACUGUGCAGCAGAGUGCAUUCUGCUGCACAAACAAUAUACUUCAGACCAAUCAGAAAAACCUAGAUAAUUUCAGUCAGAAGCAAGUCAGUGAUUUAGUCCAUGUUCUGUAUGAUACCUGCUCAAAAGGCAAAGUAAGGUUGCUUCCUCUCUGAGAAUAUUAAUACUUCCAGUCGUGACACACAACACUAUCCAGGGGCAUUUUAAGUCUUGGGGAUUUAUUCACUCAACACCACAUGGUGGUGUCUCAGACUGCACCAGACAACAGGCUAAGGACAGCGUGAAGACCGUGGUCAAAAUAAUAUCCCUUAAAAUUAUAGGAACGAACCAGCAGAGGGUUAACUAGAACAGUUCUAAUCGUUGAUUUGA